rnacentral:rRNA from 1 species
AUUGAACGCUGGCGGCAGGCCUAACACAUGCAAGUCGAGCGGAUGAAGGGAGCUUGCUCCUGGAUUCAGCGGCGGACGGGUGAGUAAUGCCUAGGAAUCUGCCUGGUAGUGGGGGAUAACGUCCGGAAACGGGCGCUAAUACCGCAUACGUCCUGAGGGAGAAAGUGGGGGAUCUUCGGACCUCACGCUAUCAGAUGAGCCUAGGUCGGAUUAGCUAGUUGGUGGGGUAAAGGCCUACCAAGGCGACGAUCCGUAACUGGUCUGAGAGGAUGAUCAGUCAACACGGAAAGUAGAACAGGGACAGACUCCCAAGGGGAGGAAGCAGUGGGAAAAAUAGACCAUGGGCGGAAAGCCUAUUCCGGCAAGGCGGGGGGUGUAAGAAGGGCCUUCGGUUUGAAAGGCAUUUAAGGUGGGGAGAAGGGAAGGUAAGUUAGUACGUGGCGUUUUGACGUUACCAACAGAAUAAGCACCGGCUAACUUCGUG